rnacentral:lncRNA from 1 species
GACGAGGUGGGCGCAACAAAUUGGUGGCCCGCACAGGGACCCGAGGAUCUCGUGGAUUCAGAACUCUUCAGCUGAGGAACGGUGGUACUGAGUGGCCUCUUAUCUGAGUACCUUAAAGGAAAUUGGUCGGCUAAAGAGGAGCAGUUGUCCAGAAAGCUGCUCCUCCAGAUUGCCAAACUCAACAGCACUCGACUGGACCCUGUCACCUUAGGGGACUUCACCUCCUGGAUCACCAAUGCCUUCUCAUUUUUUAAGGAAUGGGCGGGAAUGUUGGCCUGGGGGACAGUGGUCCUCCUGGGUUGUGUCUUUUGUAUCUGGCUAUUGUGACUCAAACGAGAGCAUGUAUAAGGCAGUGGUGUACCAAGCAUUGAUGGCGAUUAAAGAUGGCGCAUCCCC